rnacentral:rRNA from 1 species
UACGGGGGGGGCAAGCGUUGUUCGGAAUUACUGGGCGUAAAGGGCUCGUAGGCGGCCAACUAAGUCGGAUGUGAAAUCCCCAGGCUUAACCUGGGAACUGCAUCCGAUACUGGAUGGCUUGAAUCCGGGAGAGGGAUGCGGAAUUCCAGGUGUAGCGGUGAAAUGCGUAGAUAUCUGGAGGAACACCGGUGGCGAAGGCGGCGUUCUGGACUGCUACUGACACUGAGGAACGAAAGCCAGGGGAGCAAACGGG